AGCACCUUAAGCCAGAGACCCGGGCGGGAUCCACCAUUUUCUCUCUGGUAAUUAGGGUACCGCACUGUUCUUUUCAAAUAUCCUCCCUCGGCAACAGCUGCUGUGUGGAAUGAUGCACUCCCCAUCAACCACAAACCGGUGCUGAUACAGAGAGGAGAUGCUGCCUUUAAAAGCCAGGCUCUGGACUGAGGAAUGGGAACUAACUUCAGAGCAAGGCUGCUGUCUUGCUAGAAGUUAACCUGGAUGAGAGCAGGACCUUUGCAUCCUUUCUCCAUUCUUCGCCCCUGCCCAUGAGACGACUCAGCAC